AGCAUUAUACCGUGAAACUGCGAAUGGCUCAUUAAAUCAGUUAUCGUUUAUUUGAUAGUACCUUACUACAUGGAUACCUGUGGUAAUUCUAGAGCUAAUACAUGCUGAAAACCCCGACUUCGGAAGGGGUGUAUUUAUUAGAUAAAAAACCAAUGCCCUCCGGGGCUCCUUGGUGAUUCAUGAUAACUUCUCAGAUCGCAUGGCCUUGCGCCGGCGACGGUUCAUUCAAAUUUCUGCCCUAUCAACUUUCGAUGGUAAGGUAGUGGCUUACCAUGGUUUCUACGGGUAACGGGGAAUUAGGGUUCGAUUCCGGAGAGUUAGCCUGAGAAACGGCUAACACAUCCAAGGAAGGCAGCAGGCGCGCAAAUUACCCAAUCCUAAUCCUAGGGAGAGUAGUGACAAUACAUACUGAUACAGGGCUCUUUUGGGUCUUGUAAUUGGAAUGAGUACAAUUUAAACCUCUUAACGAGGAACAAUUGGAGGGCAAGUCUGGUGCCAGCAGCCGCGGUAAUUCCAGCUCCAAUAGCGUAUAUUAAAGUUGUUGCAGUUAAAAAGCUCGUAGUUGAACCUUUGGCCUGGCUGGCAGGUCCGCCUCACCGCGUGCACUUGUCCGGCCGGGCCUUUUCUUCUGGAGAACCGCAUGCCCUUCACUGGGUGUGUUGGGGACCAGGACUUUUACUUUGAAAAAAUUAGAGUGUUCAAAGCAGGCCUUUGCUCGAAUAUUACAGCAUGGAAUAAUAAAAUAGGACGUGCGGUUCUAUUUUGUUGGUUUCUAGGACCGCCGUAAUGAUUAAUAGGGACAGUCGGGGGCAUCAGUAUUCAAUUGUCAGAGGUGAAAUUCUUGGAUUUAUUGAAGACUAACUACUGCGAAAGCAUUUGCCAAGGAUGUUUUCAUUAAUCAGUGAACGAAAGUUAGGGGAUCGAAGACGAUCAGAUACCGUCGUAGUCUUAACCAUAAACUAUGCCGACUAGGGAUCGGGCGGUGUUAUUAUUUUGACUCGCUCGGCACCUUACGAGAAAUCAAAGU
rnacentral:rRNA from 1 species